ensembl:lncRNA
CAUAGGCAUGACUGAUACAGCAGUACUUGCAAGACGAGCAUACAAACAGACACGUGUGUUACUAUGUUCAGAAGAACUGUAUCUCCAGUUCCUUUGUUUGGUUUUUGCUGGUUCGUGAAUAAUGGCGGGACGACGUCUCGCGUUCAACUCGCCUUCAACUCCUCUCCGCGGUCACCAACUUUCGGCCAGUCCGCAGACAGACGAGAAGAAGCUGCUGAAUGCUCUCAGUGGAUCGUCUCGUCAACUCCAACAACAAACUGCCAAUAUCAACGAGCGGUUCGCUCCACUGGAGCGUUCAGGACUCUGCGGGUUUCUGUCCAUGGAGGAGAGGAACCGACUCAAAGAAGAGGAGACGGGCGCACAAUCCCACGAUAGCGGAAGCGGUGCGCCGUCUUCACAACUCCGAGACGAACUACAGGCGCUACGAACCCGAGCAAGGACUAAUGUCGCCUCAUAAUGAGGCGGUGACCUCGUAUUUGCUCCGGGAAAAGUCCAGAUUUAGACGACGUCAUUGUGUGUAAGUGACACUGUUUACUGUUUCUCCUUCCUUGUUAAAUGUUACUGUGACUUGCGUUUGAUUUUUUUUUUGUAUUCAUACCACACUCAUUUAAUUGUUUUCCAGCCGCCUGUGAGACGUAUUGUGAGACUGUACGCAGGAGCUUCAGGUUCAGCCGGAACACUCACUGCGGGCUGAAACUGCGAAGGAUUCAGCGCGGAGUCGAGCGAGAAGAAAGAGGCUGCUGGAAUCGAGACAAAGUGCUGGCUGAUGACGAGGUGGAAAUCCGCCACCGUGGAGCUCACGUCGGACGGAGGGGACGGCGUUGUUGGCGGGGUCUCGGGGUGGAUUGUACGGUCGCCACCCGCACACGAGGCGCCUGCACAACAGACCUGCCUCGGAAAACACGGCGCCAGUGACGGUCAACAACCCCGAGGAGGCAGACGGACAGUUUACUGAGCUGUAGUUUUUAAACCGCCGUUACCCAAGUGUGGGCAGAUC